rnacentral:rRNA from 1 species
UACGAAGGGGGCUAGCGUUGCUCGGAAUCACUGGGCGUAAAGCGCACGUAGGCGGCUUUCUAAGUCAGGGUGAAAUCCUGGAGCUCAACUCCAGAACUGCCUUUGAUACUGAAGAUCUUGAGUUCGGGAGAGGUGAGUGGAACUGCGAGUGUAGAGGUGAAAUUCGUAGAUAUUCGCAAGAACACCAGUGGCGAAGGCGGCUCACUGGCCCGAUACUGACGCUGAGGCACGAAAGCGUGGGGAGCAAACAGG